GAAAUUUUUUAUGUAUUCAAAAUUUCAAUCUAUAAAAAAAAAUUUGUAUUUUAUUUAUAUAAAAUAAAAAAGGA
rnacentral:misc_RNA from 1 species